rnacentral:tRNA from 1 species
UUUACCCUUCCUAUACUA